ACGGGAGGCAGCAGUGGGGAAUAUUGCACAAUGGGCGCAAGCCUGAUGCAGCAACGCCGCGUGAGCGAUGAAGGUCUUCGGAUCGUAAAGCUCUGUCCUUGAGGACGAAUAAUGACGGUACUCUUGGAGGAAGCAACGGCUAACUAAGUGCAAGCAGCAGCGGUAAUACGUAGGGGGCGAGCGUUAUCCGGAAUUAUUGGGCGUAAAGAGUACGUAGGUGGUUUUGUAAGCGUAGGGUGAAAGCCCGGGGCUUAACUCCGGUUAGCCCUACGAACUGCAAGACUUGAGUGCAGGAGGGGAAAGUGGAAUUCCUAGUGUAGCGGUGAAAUGCGUAGAUAUUAGGAGGAACACCAGUGGCGAAGGCGGCUUACUGGACUGUAACUGACGUUGAGGCUCGAAAGCGUGGGGAGCAAACAGGAUUAGAUACCCUGGUA
rnacentral:rRNA from 1 species